GUCAGUAACUCAGGGACAAAGCCACUGAGCUUGUAAGAGAAAUCAAGCAAGCUGUACUGACCAGUCUAAGUCUUAACUGACUACGUUUUUUGAGUCACGACACCGGAGAAUGCGAAGCUAGUUUUCCGCUCUGUCAUUUGCAAUUAAACAGUUUUAAAGUCACUGAAACAGUGUUGCAAGUGUAAAAAGCUCUUAAAACAUUGACGAAGCUAACAUUAC
ncrna:Anabaena variabilis ATCC 29413 HNH endonuclease-associated RNA and ORF (HEARO) RNA